CCAACUGGGCAGAGGGAUCCUCCUCCUGUUGCCACUGAGUUAACUACAUGGUCAUCUGCUUUUCACCAGGCCUGCAGGUUUUAGGGCCAUAGAACACAGUCUGAAUUGACUUCCCUGUGAAGUUCUACUUAAACUCUUCCAAAACAGCAGUUUUUCAAAUCAUCUUACAAGUGCCACAGAUGCAUGGAAUGAUUGUUAGGAGCACGACUCAUCGCUGCUAGGAAGACAACAAAGUGAGAGUACAGGCAGCUCCAGAUGAGCACUGGAAAAGACACUUUCAGAAGAAGUUGAGGUGUGAACCCAGAAUAAGAAAUCCCAUUAUGGCAGUAGGAAUAAAAUGAGAGGAGAAGCCAGGGAGAAGAUGAGUGAAUCAGUUGUAACAACAGUCGAACGAUUCUACUCUUAGGGUGGGUCUUGUAUUUACUUUAGGCAUUGAAUGACAGAACAGUUAGUUUCAGCAUGCAUUUAAACAUAAAAUGCUAUUAAACUUGAUAGGGUGGCUUGGAAACUUCUAAAGUGCCAAGCAAAUUAAUUUGGCUAUCAUUUACUGGGGAGAGAUAUACCAUUUGCUCAGGGUUAAAUAAAAAUCAACUCGUGGGAAAUGAUAACAGCAAAGAGGAGGAGAAACAUGCUGCUUUCUCCUGACUUACAGAAUGGCCAUUUCAGCACUGUCAUGUAUUUAGCCCCCUGAAUGUAAAAUAACCAAAAAUGCAAAAUACAUGUGUCUAUGUAUGUGUGCUUAUAUAUAAGGGGGGGAGGUAGGAGGGGAAUGUGGAAAUUCUAUAGCAGCGAAGAGUUUGGUAUGUAAGCACUUAAGUGAUUGUCUAUGCCAGACUUUCCAGUAGAACACCUGAACCAGUAUGAUUGUCUUGAUAAACUCCAUGUUUCAGAGCAAAACCUUCCUAAUUCCUGCUUUGGUUUAAGUUUAUACUUGUGCUUAAGCCCCAAUAAAGACUUCUGCCACUGCCA